CCUACGGGAGGCUGCAGUGGGGAAUAUUGGACAAUGGGCGCAAGCCUGAUCCAGCAAUGCCGCGUGAGUGAUGAAGGCCUUAGGGUUGUAAAGCUCUUUUACCCGGGAUGAUAAUGACAGUACCGGGAGAAUAAGCUCCGGCUAACUCCGUGCCAGCAGCCGCGGUAAUACGGAGGGAGCUAGCGUUGUUCGGAAUUACUGGGCGUAAAGCGCGCGUAGGCGGUUACUCAAGUCAGAGGUGAAAGCCCGGGGCUCAACCCCGGAACUGCCUUUGAAACUAGGUGACUAGAAUCUUGGAGAGGUCAGUGGAAUUCCGAGUGUAGAGGUGAAAUUCGUAGAUAUUCGGAAGAACACCAGUGGCGAAGGCGACUGACUGGACAAGUAUUGACGCUGAGGUGCGAAAGCGUGGGGAGCAAACAGGAUUAGAUACCCCAGUAGUC
rnacentral:rRNA from 1 species